CCCGGAUUCGCUGAGGGCGCGAUGAAAUUUAUGGUAAUCCGAUUGGAUUCCGUAUACACGCUCGGAGCGCUGUUAAACCUUUUACGGCUUCUACUCAAAGGGGUUGAAGCAACGCCUUGUAUAUAAUAUCGAGAGUGAGAACCUCAAACCAACCCUAUAGCGAAUCAGGAUUAAUUAAGGGUUGUAAUCGUGCGAAGUGACAGAAAAUUUUACUCGCUGACAAACGCUGGUUAGGUCGCACCGUGAUAAUAGCCGGGGACGGCUGAGUGAGAGAGUAUUUGCCGGUGAAGCUGGUGAAGUAACAAGAGAGUGAGAGUGAAGAAGUGGAAGAGAGAGGGCGACACGGUCCACGGAGAGGAGUGAAGGAGGGAUCAAAGAAAAAGACAAGGGAAAAAUUCUCACGCGCGAAUCGCGGAUUAAAGAGAAGCUCGAAUGGCUACGAUACCGGGGAUUCCCCUCUAGUUACAAGACGUGAACGCAGCCGUGUCCUCAUAAUGAAUAGCCUUAACGAUUCUCUUUAAUUAGUAACGUAGCGCCGACUGCGCUGGGAAAUCAUCUACUUGGCGACCAACUGCAAAUACAGAUAUUCCAAAUUCUCAGUUCGCCAAUUAAUAGUUUUAAUGGCUCCACGGUAUUCCACGAGUGACUGUCACUGUGACAGGUGGACAGAAAACUAUUUCUAUCGUUUCUAAUUCGAUUCUAAUAAUACCACUUUGUUCACCUGCAUCGUGACAUAUAUCCACUAUAUAAACGUUGUUAUUUUAUACAAAAG